GAUGAACGCUGGCGGCGUGCCUAAUACAUGCAAUUCGAGCGAACGGACGAGAAGCUUGCUUCUCUGAUGUUAGCGGCGGACGGGUGAGUAACACGUGGAUAACCUACCUAUAAGACUGGGAUAACUUCGGGAAACCGGAGCUAAUACCGGAUGAUAUUUUGAACCGCAUGGUUCAAAAGUGAAAGACGGUCUUGCUGUCACUUAUAGAUGGAUCCGCGCUGCAUUAGCUAGUUGGUAAGGUAACGGCUUACCAAGGCAACGAUGCAUAGCCGACCUGAGAGGGUGAUCGGCCACACUGGAACUGAGACACGGUCCAGACUCCUACGGGAGGCAGCAGUAGGGAAUCUUCCGCAAUGGGCGAAAGCCUGACGGAGCAACGCCGCGUGAGUGAUGAAGGUCUUCGGAUCGUAAAACUCUGUUAUUAGGGAAGAACAUAUGUGUAAGUAACUGUGCACAUCUUGACGGUACCUAAUCAGAAAGCCACGGCUAACUACGUG
rnacentral:rRNA from 1 species